AUCCAGCUGACGAGUCCCAAAUAGGACGAAACACGAGUCCUGGAG
rnacentral:hammerhead_ribozyme from 1 species